rnacentral:lncRNA from 12 species
CUUCGCCUGGAACUUGUCCGUCUAGGUGGUCUUCUGGGGGAGGGGGCCUGUUGUGCUGAUUUUCAGGUGUUCGCACUUGGGGGAGCUUAUCAUCCCCUGCCUGGUGCAGGGCUCAGUGGGGGUUGUUUACCCCGUGAUGCCCCAGGAGGAACAACCACAGUGGCGGUGGUCAGCUCUGGAGCCCUGAAUUCAGCUCCCGCAGUAACUCCAGAGCUCUCUGCAGGGCCUGGAGGUUCCGGGGUGGGGCCGCUGAUCUGCUCAGCUCGGGGCAGGAGCGUCCUUGCUGUCCUGGGCCCUCCUGGCCUCUGCCUGUCCCAGGGGGAGGGCGGAUCCUGGGCUGUGUCCCGGCGCCCAGUGCUCCGGGGCCUGCGCUGUUGGAUUCCCGCUCCUGGCUGCGCAGCCCGCUCUGUGGAGCCGCAGCCCGAGCCUCACCAAGUUGCUCCCGGAUCCGCGCAGAGGCUCUUCCUCUGCCUGAGCCCCUCCGAGCUGCUCCUGGCUGCGCAGCACCCUCUCCGUGGAGUCUCUUCCUCUGCCCGAGUCCCCCCGAGCUGCUUCUGGCCGCACAGCCCCCUCUCCGCCGUAGCUGCCGUUGGAGUCCCUCCUAGCUGCUACUGGGACAUGCAGCCCCCUCCACGGAGCUGCUGCCCGAGCCCCUCCGAGCUGCUCCCAGAGCCGUGCAGCCCCCUCCGCAUGGGGCCUCUUCCUCCGCUGGAGCCCCUUCGAGCUGCUCCCGGAACCACGCAGCCCCCUCUGCACGAUCCUCUUCCUCUGCCCGAGCCCCUCCGAGCUGCUCCCGUGUCCAGCCGUGUGCGCGCUUCAGCCCUUCAGGGAGCUCGGCGCACUCUCCCCGGGGCUCAGUUCCUCUGUUACUGUCCUAGGGAGCCUGAGGGCAUCCCUGCCCUCCUGGGGUCCUGCUCCAAAUCCCUGCGAGGCCUUUCUGCCCGGGAAGAUUGGUGUAGCUCCUGCUUCUCCGGGGUGGAGCUCUCCUGUCCUUCUAAAGGAAAUUCUUUAAACUGA